CACAGGACCAAAAGUGCAGGCACAUCAUUUAUUGAUAAGACAAAAAGAAUGUAAUGAAAUUAUCAAUGUUCUUGAAUUAAUUAUGAACAUGAUUAAGAAAGCUAAAAUCUCAGGAGCCAGGACCUCAUUACCCAUUCAGUCUUAGGGAUUGCUUUCAUUCAGCAAGGCAAAAAGGAGUUGAGCGGCCACAAUCGCCUUCCUCUCAUUUAUUUGUGCUAGAAUUAAGGUUUAUUUGUUUUCUGUUUCCUUCGUCUUCAGAUUGUUUCUCUGUCUCCAUCCAUUUCACAAACCCCUUUCCUCCUGUAUCUCAGAAGGGAGCACCUCCAGGGCCUACAUUUCUGCAGCCCGCACACCUCCUUGAGUGUGUGUCUCUCAGUCUGCUGGAGCUUCUAAAUAUCUCUCAAGCUUUUACGUCCGUACAGAAAUAUGAUAACGGGGAAAUCAUUUUUGACUCCCUUGCUUUGGUGAUACAGCCGCAGACUCAAUGACCUAACAUCCAUCCCAAAGACAAAGCGAAGACCCGAGCAACACUGUCUUCAAGGUAAGAGGAAGGAGACCCUCUGGACACUGGCACAUGGGAGAAGCCAUCCCCCCAAUUUAUAAUGAAUGAACGUCGGAGUAAAUCUCUUCAUUAACCAGAUAGAGCUUUCACUCCCAGGUGGAGAGCAUUAUAGACCACACGUGCUCAAAAUGAAGAAAACAAUUGAUAACAGCUGUGCCUGUCAAGCAUUCGGGAACGCCACAAAACCACCAAGGAGCCGACUCCAACACAAUCACACUAGGGUCUCUAUUCAAGCUGUCUUGGGCCACGCCACCAUCUCUUAUUCAGCUGGAUGGGAGGGUGAAGCUCUCAGAGGGACAAGGUUUGCUAGGAAAUGGCAAUGUGUUCCAGUGUUGGCAGAUUGAAAGGCAGUGACCUACAGAUGCAAGAAAAUCCCACAUGUCACAAUAAAGAGACCGGAAAAUAUUUCCAAGUGCACAGAUAGACUGGGGGAAAGUCCUUCAGAUCAGGGAUGCAGGGUUUAACAUAGAAUACACAUGGAAAUCUGAAAGCUAAAAUGAAGGUACUAGGAUCACAAGAAGCUAAGGGGUAUGGUUCAUCAGAGAACCUUCCUUUGCAUCGGAUGACAGUCAACAGAUGCACUCUCGAACGGUCAAAGUGCAGAACACACUUAACGGCGGAGUGCUCAGCCCUAACUAACGUCUGCAUUAGAUCUCUUCACUCCGAGACUCUGAGAACACCACAGAGGAGCCGCCAUCAUGGUUUGAAGAGACAGAGACAGUGGAGGGCUUGUGUGAGAGAGUGUCUUCUGGGCAUGAAAGGGCUCUUACAUCUGAGCUUUCAAGAUAGGAUUGCCCGAGUAGGAUGUGCACCAGAUUCCUCAAAGAUCAAAGAUGGGAGGGACUCCUGAGCUACCACCCUCUCUGGAGUACUAUUGGUGGUUCAUGAAUGCUGGCGUGACUGGAAUCAUUUCUCUUUGGAAGCACGGUCAUUGAUAGGUUUUCCACACUGUCAUGGAUUGCCCCAUGUCUAUGUGCAGGAAUCUACCUUUGUUUUUCUGCUUUAAAUAUUCAGUUUUCCAUAUGAAUGUCUCUGGGUUUUGGUUCCUCCGUAAUUCUUUCACUAGAGUUUUUGUUGUGGAGGGUUUCACUGCUUCAGUUACACUCAUUUCUACCUAUUUUACUGGGAUGAAUUUUACUGCUACUGCUGUUGUUUUUGUCCUUCCCCUCCCCAGAAGUGGGGACAGAACCUAUGGCUUUGAGAAUGCCAGACAUGCGCUGUGCCACUGGGCUUCACUCCAGCCUAUUUAUUAUUUGAUCAGGGGCUAUGGUGAAUUUUUUUUAAUUGUUAGUGUGUUCGUGGUAUAUAAAAUGUUUCUAUUUGUUGCUUGUGUUUCCUAUGACUACUGAGUUUUUCUCUUCCAACACAUUUUAGUCAGUCUUCUCUGUAUAUAAAAUCUUCCCGCAAAAGAGGUUGAUCUGACACCCUCUUUUCUGAUCGAAAAUCUUAUUAUUAUUUUAUUCCUUUCUUCUGAUGAAUUUUCUUACAAAAUUUCCUUUUUCUGUUCCAAAUAAGAGGCAAAUGUAUGUGGACAUCUUUUUUUUUUUCAGAUCUCAGAGGAAACACCUUCAUCUUCUUUCACUUAGCACACAGAAGCAGUGGCUUUAUCAUAUCUAGACCUUUGUGUAGUGAGGUAUCUUCCUCCUACACUUAAUCUCUUCUGGCUUUUUUUUUCAUAAAAGCAUGUUUAACUUCAAUGAAUACUUUUACUGCACCCACUAAUGAAAUUACUUCGAUCCUCUCCUUUGCUGUUGUGAUAUAUUUUGACUUUCCAUUUGUGCGUGUUAAGCCAUCCUUGUAUCUCUGGAAUAAACUCUAUUUAACAAGGUACAUUAUCUUUUUUAUGUGUUCAUUAGUCCAUUUCCCACUUAAAGGAGGAAUGGCUUAUUUGUUCCUGUGGUUUCACAUCAUUGUUGGUCCAUUGCGUUUUGGUUUACAAAAUAGAAACAUCGUGAUUAAAAGGCAUGAGGGCAAAGCAGAGCGGCUCUCUCACCUCACAGUAUCCAAGAAGAGGACAGAGAUAGGAAAAGGGUGAGGGAACAAGAUGCUCCCUUGAAGGGCACAGCCCAGUGACCAACUUCUAACCAGACCCACUUCCUAGGAUUUCUGCCACCUCAUAACAGCACUAAGAAUUAAGGAUAUUUUUAAUAUAUAAGCCUUGGGGGAAUAUUCGAUAUCUAAGCAUUAAUCAUGUGCCUUUUGCCAGUAUCACAUUUAACCCUGAUGUUUCUUUGUUGAAUUUUAAUCUUUAUGGCUUGUCCAUUUAUGAAAGUGGACACCAAUAUCUCGAACUCUCGCUGGUUUUGAAUCUACUUUCCCUUUUUAUCUAACAACACUUUCUUUACAUAGUGUGUGUGUGUGUGUGUGUGUGUGUCUGUGUGUGUGUGUGAUAUGUGAAUUUUUUCCUGGAACAGUGCAACAGUGCAAGCAAGUACUUAUUCAUCGCAGAUAAGGCAUAGCUAUAGACCGAAGUGUGAUUCCACUGUAGACUGAUGUGGAAGACGAGUGAGUUUAUGGGCUUUCACACAGAACAUGGGUAAGCUCGAGCCAGGAACACCAAUAGAGAACCUCAGACAGUGUGUGUGCACAAUGACUUUCACAUAGGCACACCAUGCCGUUCCCUUUCCACUUAACUUUACACAGUCUGUACUCUCACACCAUCCAAGGACUACAAGCCACUGGAACAGAUGUCAGUGGUGAGGGACACAGUGGCUUAGACCACAGGUGACUAUCUAUUUGGCCUUCUCCACUCUUCCUUUUAAGAUAGUGUCAACAGGUGCAAUCAUGAAAGUGUCUUAGAGGUGACCACAGCUGCUUCUGAUGAGGACAGUAAUGGCGACUAUGCUCAGGGUCAGCUUUCUACUAUGGCUUGGAAUGGUUCUUUCUUUGUAUUCAGUUGCUCCCUCUCACUUUAUAGAGUGGUCUCCUUUAUCUUGUGUUAGUAGGUCUUAUUUGACACACAAAAUUAAUAUAAAUCAUGAUAAACACUAAAGCCUA
rnacentral:sRNA from 1 species